rnacentral:rRNA from 1 species
GACGAACGCUGGCGGCGUGCCUAAUACAUGCAAGUAGAACGCUGAAGAGAGGAGCUUGCUCUUCUUGGAAGAGUUGCGAACGGGUGAGUAACGCGUAGGUAACCUGCCUUGUAGCGGGGGAUAACUAUUGGAAACGAUAGCUAAUACCGCAUAACAAUGGGUGACCCAUGUCAUUCAUUUAAAAGGGGCAACUGCUCCACUACAAGAUGGACCUGCGUUGUAUUAGCUAGUAGGUGAGGUAACGGCUCACCUAGGCGACGAUACAUAGCCGACCUGAGAGGGUGAUCGGCCACACUGGGACUGAGACACGGCCCAGACUCCUACGGGAGGCAGCAGUAGGGAAUCUUCGGCAAUGGACGGAAGUCUGACCGAGCAACGCCGCGUGAGUGAAGAAGGUUUUCGGAUCGUAAAGCUCUGUUGUAAGAGAAGAACGAGUGUGAGAGUGGAAAGUUCACACUGUGACGGUAUCUUACCAGAAAGGGACGGCUAACUACGUGCCAGCAGCCGCGGUAAUACGUAGGUCCCGAGCGUUGUCCGGAUUUAUUGGGCGUAAAGCGAGCGCAGGCGGUUAGAUAAGUCUGAAGUUAAAGGCUGUGGCUUAACCAUAGUACGCUUUGGAAACUGUUUAACUUGAGUGCAAGAGGGGAGAGUGGAAUUCCAUGUGUAGCGGUGAAAUGCGUAGAUAUAUGGAGGAACACCGGUGGCGAAAGCGGCUCUCUGGCUUGUAACUGACGCUGAGGCUCGAAAGCGUGGGGAGCAAACAGG